rnacentral:rRNA from 1 species
AUUAAGCCACCUAGCGGAUGGCUUGGCUCUAGCAGCGAUGAAGACCGUGGCAAGCUGCGAUAAGCCUGGGGUAGGCGCAGGUCAGCCUUUGAACCCAGGAUCGUCGAAUCGCGCACUAUGAAUAAUGGUGCACGCAUACGCGGGGAACUGAAAUAUCUUAGUACCCGCAGGAAAAGAAAGCAAACGCGAUGCCGUUAGUAAUGCGAAUGAAAGCGGCAGAGGGCAAACCGAAUCCUGCCUUGCGAAAGGCGUGGAGAUGUGGUGCAGAUUAAGACUCGCAGAGCAUACCAAAUGCCAUUGAAAUGGCAGCCAUAGAGAGUGAUAGCCUCGUAGGCAUGCAAAGUGAGUUGUGCUGCAGAAGAGUAGCUCAGCCUGAGUACGUUGAGCGAACAUGGGGGCAUUAAACUCCAACCCUAAAUAUUGGCUAGAGACCGAUAGCGAACAAGUAGCGCGAGCGAAAGCUGAAAAGAACCCACACGCGUGGGGCUGAAAAGAUCUGAAACUAGGUGGUUACAAGAAGGUGCGGCAUUGAAGGAAUGAAGUGCGGAGAAGCGAACUGUGUAAGCGGGGAGCGAUCCGCAAAGACCGGUGUUGCAUCUUUCUUCUGGAAGCAAGAGCCAGGGAGUGCAUCGGAGUGGCGAGCAUUUUGCUAAGUGAAAGCGAGAGCGCGCAAGUAAUGAGGCGCUGGGCAUGAAAAUGCCUAAAGUCACUCCUUUGCGACCCGAAGCCAUUGUGAUCUACGCGCGGCUAGGACGAAGUCGAGUUUACGCUCGAUGGAGGUCCGCAACCUGUCAUGGCAUGUCCUGUUGGGUGAGCUGCGGGUAGGGGCGAUAGACCUAUCGAACAUGGCAAUAGCGGGUCCCCUUCGAAAUAUCUUUAGGAUAGCUUCGGCUGAGCUUGCGUAUGCGGUAGAGCGACCGAUUUGAGGGUAAGGAGUCGAAAGGCUCCUCCUUCUUGUCAAACUCCGAAUGCAUGCGCUGCGAAGAAGCCGGGAGCGGGCUGCAUUGGGUAAGCUAGUGCAGCGAGACUUGAUGAAGAGUGACUGGGGUUAAGGUCCCUAAAUCUUAGUUGAGUGUGUUGAAGGAGGGCAUUAUCAUAGACAGUCGGGAGGUAGGCUCAGAAGCAGCCACCCUUUAAAAAACGCGUAAUAGCGUACCGAUUGAGAUAAAGCACUCUAAAGAUGGACGGGGCUAAACUAAGUACCGAUACCCUAGCAGCCGAAAGGCUGGGUAGGAGGGCGCUCUAUGCGGGGAGAAGCUUGACCAUGAGGCCGAGUGGACCGCAUAGAAGAGAAAAUCCUGGUAUUAGUAAUAGCGAUAUACAGGUGAGAAUCCUGUACACCGGAAGCACACGGUUUUCCUUGCGAUGAUCGUCAGCAGGGAGUUAGUCGGUCCUAAGCAGCAAGCCAGUAACUUGACUGCAAAAGGGAAGCUGGUUAAUAUUCCAGCACUUGACAUGUAGGCGUGGCAACACAAGGUGGAUUUCUGACGCCUGAGGAUAGGCUUGAAAAGAGGUGCAAAUGGCUGCGGAGUUUCAUUAUGAAGAGAAGCAGCUAAAUGAACCAGAACAGCUGAAUUCUUGGGCCCGUGAAAAGGGAAUCCACAACGAUCAUGUCAAUCCGUACCUAGAACUAGCACAAGUGAUGCUGGCUGAAAAGGCCAAGGUGUCGCGGAAGAACCUGGGUUAGGGAAAUCGGCAAACUAGUGGCGUAAGUUAUCGAAAAGCCAUGUCUGCGCUUGGUAAGCGCAGAUUUCAAUGACAAGAGGGGAGCGACUGUUUAUCAAAAACACAACUCGCCGCAAAGCAGUAAUGCUUUAUACAGCGGGUGACGCCUGCUCACCGCUAGUAUGCGAAAUUUCUUUACAAAGAAACUAAGCACUAGCAAAGAGCGGGAGUAACACUGACUCUCUUUAGGUAGCGUAAUACCUCGUCACUUAAUAGGUGACUUGCAUGAAGGGCGUAACGACUCCCCUGCUGUCCCAACCUAGGAUCCGGUGAACUUACUGCGUGGUGAACAUGCCACGUACUCUCAGUGGGAAAUGAAGUCUCCAUGAAGCUUGACUAUAACCUGUUGUUGUUGUGUCGCGAAUGCUGCAAAGCGUAAGUGGGAGCGUCGAAGCCACGGUUUCGGCCGUGGUGGAGCGACAAUGUAACACCACUCUCCAUUUGCUACGCGACUAACCCAAAAGGGACAGCUGCAGGUGGAUAGUUAGACUGGGCGGUUGCUUUCGAUAAAGAAACGAAAGUGACCAAUGCUCCGCUUAGGCGGGUUGGAAACCCGCUGUUAAGCUAAAGGGCAAAUGCGGGGCUGACUGUGUCUCGAAGAGCGUGAGACGCAGGCUGGAAACAGGGGCCUAACGAACGUUGGAAGCUCUUUUAAUGGGGCUCCAAGCUGUCAAACAAGUUACUCUGGAGGUAACCGGUUCGUGGCUGGUGAGAGUUCACAUCGACCCAGCCGUUUGAUACACCGAUAUGGGCUUAGGUCAUCCUGGCGGUGCAGUAGCCGCCAAGGGCUGGACUGCUCGUCCAUUAAAGACCUACAUGAGCUGAGUUCAGUACGUCGCGAGACAGUACGGUAAUAUCUACUGGGAGUGUUAAUGCCUGAGGAUAAGAUGCCCUCAAUACGAGAGGAACGGGGCAUCGGCGCCUCUAGUCUACCGGUUGUUUUUUGCAUUGCCGGGUAGCCACGCGCUAAUGGAUAAGUCCUGAAAGCAUCUAAGGACGAAGCCAAAUCCGAAACGAGGCACUAGGGCGGUUGUAGUACACGACCUUGAUAGGGUGGGCGUGUAAGCAGAAAGCGCAAGCGAUCUGUGAGCGUACCACUACUAACGCACAAAAGCAACUCU